CACUUAGUAUCGGUGCUAACGAUCGUGUCUAACAUGUAUAAUUCAUCAAAGACUCCAUCAUUCAUUCAAAGAAACAUGUAAAUAUAAGAGAUUGAGUUCACAGUCCAUUAAAUUACUCAAGUAGUAUAACGUGUUUCACGAACACGAUUUUUAUGUUACUUGUGAGAAUGAUAUAAUUUAUACAAGCUUAUACAUCGAUACGAUAAGCGUAUGAUGUUCCCGUUCACGCUUGCAAUUCAUAUUUUGUCCGUAUAUGUUGCUGAAAUCACUUCGAGUUAAAGACGAUAAAAGCGAUCUUUGGAGUAAAAAUAUUUAUUUGCAUUUCAACAUUUACAACUUGACGAAUGUCGAAAAAAAAAUAGCCUUGUCGUGGGAAGAUACAGCGUUUUUAAAAAAAUAACAAUUAAAAGGUAUAUAUAGAUCUUUACGAAUGGUAGAUAGCAGUGAUUAGUGACAAAAAUAUAAAUUCAGUAGUGUAUUCUUAAGAAAAAAAGAAAAAACGCCCGAUUUUGUGAACAGUUUAAAAAUAUUACAACAUAGCUGAGUGAAGAUAUGUCCGGUGGAAAGUAUACAAUCGCUAAUCAUGGAGAUCAAUAAAUUGAUAAACGUAAGCGUUCAUGAAAAAUUUUUCAAUUACGUUUCAUUUUCUAUGCGAUCCUAACUUUAAGAAAAAUCUUUGAUCAUUAAAUAUGUCCAGUUAAAAGAAAAGAACACCGUUUAGUAAGCUAAAAGACAUUAUCAUUUCAAUUAUUGAAUCAAUUAUUUCAAAGUGAUAUCGAUUUUGUUAUAAAGGAUAAUAUAUUGAAAGGCAAAGAUGAAACUUUAUCCAGUGAAUAUACGAACGUCGGAAAAUUACUCUUGGAUAAAAUGAAGACCAGACCCGACUUUGUUGGUCAGGUAUGUAAGAAUCUUAAAGAGCUAAAAUCGAAUAAAGUGUCAUAACAUCGCAUGUACACAGACACAUGUACGAAGAUACAUGCACGCACGCACACUAUUUCAGUAAUGUGCAAUUAGUUUUACGAAAUAUAACGAAGGACAAUAAAUAAUUUAUAAUGAAUGAGAAAACUCGUGACAAAAUUGUGUAUAUUCAAUAUAUUUUCGUUCUUGAAAAAUUUUACUGGAGUGAAGCGCAGCAAUUCACAUUUUUGCACGUGUCGUUUACAAAGACGUAGAAUAUACUUCUUAAUAAUUCUUUUUUAUCGCCAUAUCGAUAAGAUCGAAAAGGUCUUAUUAACAAUAAUUUUUUCUACAUCGUUUAUUAAUGAAAUGAAUAAGUCAUUCAUAAUAACAGAUAGACGUUAUCACCAAAGAGACAUAUACUUUUUGUUUGAUCUGACUGUAAAAUGUGCGCUUUGGUUACGUCAACAAAGAAUCAAGGCUAAUGACGUAGUUGAAGAUUAUAGGAUGUCAAUGGAUAUUUCAAGGCUAGGCCAGUGACAAUCCUUAACUCAUCGAGCCUAGGCUUCUACUUUUACUGUUUAUUUAUUGGCCGGGUUGACAUAUUAUCGAAACCCAAAUACUUUACUAAGAAUGCCUAGGCAAAGGUGGCCAUGUGUUUUUUAUCUAUGCGUUUUGUUUAGCUAAUAGUCGAUAGGUUCCCAAGGAUAACUGUUUCCAAUGGUGUUAUAUGAUCCUUAAGAGAAAGUACUGGGAACAAUGGAGAGACGCACGUGUGCGUCAACAAGGAGAUUUAUAGUUAUUUAAAGUAAAAAUGAAGAAGAAAAGGUCGAAAUUGCUUGCUAUAGAACUGUUUGAUGAAAAAUAAAAGAAAGAUCUAAUCGCAUAAGAGCACCAAUUUAUAAUAUUUUCAGGAGCAACAGGACCGAUUCCGUAUGUAGCACGGAUCAUCACUGCAACCAGACGCAAUCCAAACGUCUCCUCGAGAAUUCGUCAUCAUGCUCGUAAACCUAACGAGCAGACUCUAUCCUAAACGGCAUGGAGCCAGAUAUAAAAACACAUAUAUAUUCUCUCUUAUUAACCAUGACGUUGAAAUAAAGAUGAAUUGGCAAGAAAUUCUCUUUUGCGGUCUAGUGAAUGAAAGCGAGGAACAUCCGAUGAUUAUGUUACCAAACACAGAUAAGGCUGGCUAACGAAUGAACACCUGCCCAAAAUAUCAUGAUUCAUCUUUUCGAAACUUUGUUUUCACCUGUUGUUUAGGUGCCACAUAAUACAAUAUUACUAAUAAGUAGAUGUCUACAGUAGUAAUAACUUAUAUAAUGUUACUAGUCAUUAAAUGCUACUAGUAAUUGUUGCAUAUCCUCGUAUCGUUGCUUAUUAUUAUUACGAAUUAUCGUUGAGUGCAUAUCCUUAUAAAUUAGUAUUUGUUCUUUAACUGUCCGUAUCGAUAUAGAACGGUGAUAAGAUAAGAGGUUACGUAACAACAAAUUGCAUUUUUUUGUCUUUAUGUUUCCAAAAUAACAAA